UACGGAGGGGGCUAGCGUUGUUCGGAAUUACUGGGCGUAAAGCGUGCGCAGGCGGCUUUGCAAGACAGAUGUGAAAUCCCCGGGCUCAACCUGGGAACUGCAUUUGUGACUGCAAGGCUAGAGUACGGCAGAGGGGGAUGGAAUUCCGCGUGUAGCAGUGAAAUGCGUAGAUAUGCGGAGGAACACCAAUGGCGAAGGCAAUCCCCUGGGCCUGUACUGACGCUCAUGCACGAAAGCGUGGGGAGCAAACAGG
rnacentral:rRNA from 1 species